rnacentral:rRNA from 1 species
UUUUGCCAGCGGGGCUAGAAGCAGUCGUAGGAAGGCCCCCUUCGGGGGGUACUCGAGUGGCGCACGGGUGAGUAACGCGUGGGUAAUCUGCCUUUGGGUCUGGGACAACUUCGGGAAACUGGAGCUAAUACCGGAUAAGACCACGAGCCCUUCGGGGCUUGCGGAAAAAGAUGGCCUCUUCUUGAAAGCUAUCGCCUAUCGAUGAGCCCGCGUCUGAUUAGCUUGUUGGUGAGGUAACGGCUCACCAAGGCAUCGAUCAGUAGCUGGUCUGAGAGGAUGAUCAGCCACACUGGAACUGAGACACGGUCCAGACUCCUACGGGAGGCAGCAGUCGGGAAUCUUGGGCAAUGGGCGAAAGCCUGACCCAGCAACGCCGCGUGAGGGAUGAAGGCCCUCGGGUCGUAAACCUCUGUCGGGAGGGAAGAACGGUAGCCUUUCAAAUAGGUGGGCUGCCUGACGGUACCUCCAAAGGAAGCACCGGCUAACUCCGUGCCAGCAGCCGCGGUAAUACGGAGGGUGCGAGCGUUGUUCGGAAUCAUUGGGCGUAAAGCGCGUGUAGGCGGCUUGGCAAGUCGGAUGUGAAAUCCCGGGGCCCAACCCCGGAACUGCAUUCGAAACUGCCUCGCUAGAGUCCCGGAGAGGAUGGCGGAAUUCCCGGUGUAGAGGUGAAAUUCGUGGAUAUCGGGAGGAACACCAGUGGCGAAGGCGGCCAUCUGGACGGUGACUGACGCUGAGACGCGAAAGCGUGCGGAGCAAACAGGAUUAGAUACCCUGGUAGUCCACGCCGUAAACGUUGUGUGCUAGGUGUCGCGGGUAUUGACCCCUGCGGUGCCGUCGUUAACGCAUUUAGC